UCCCUAAUUUCCCAUGGCCGACAAUAUUUACUCAGUUGCUACUCUCCAACAAACACUCUGCACUCCCAUGGCUGAUGAGACCCCAAAGGCCACUCCACAGCCUCUCAUUCCCUUCUCCGCCGUGAAUUAACUAAUAUUUAAUUUGGAGACGAAAAGAAAAAUAUCUUCGUUGCCUUUUGGCCUUACUUGAUCUGAUUUUUUGAUUCCUUUGCAAAUCAAAUUUCUAAGCUUUUGAUCUCUGCUUCAAACAGGAAAAAGACUUGAAAGUCAUAAGAGAAGCUAAGAUCCGAGAAGAGAUGUUAGACCGGGAAGCUUCACUUAGACGAGCAAGAGUAGAAGCAUCUCUUUUUGAUGGUAUCUCAUGGGGCAUGGGAGAGGAUGCUAUUGCAGAAGCAGAGGAUGAUGGACCAGAUGUUGAAGGAAAUACUAGUCAUAAAUUUGUCUCCAAGAGGUGGAGGUAUAACAGGAUUUAUAGCAAUUUGCUUGUGAAUUUUGAAUUCUACUGUCUAAUAUCUCGUAAAAUAUGAAGGUAUAAUGUGUCUCUGCCCUUUUCAGACCUUAUUUUGUUGCAAGAGGAUUAUUAUGACCAUAGCAUUUUACAUAUAUACAAUAAUUCGUAUUAUUUUUAAUGCACCUCUGAUGCCUAUGAACUUAGACCAGCUUGUGAAGCUGUGAUGCAGCAGUGUAUGUGAAUAAAAUUUCAUCACUUGCUUUCAGCGUAUGUGAAGCUGUGAUGCACCUCUCCCUACAUGUGUGGUUUGUACAUUUUAUCUUUCUUAUGAAUAAUGCAUGUUUAUAUUGCAGGAUAUAGUUUGGAAUGCCUUCAAAGAUGGUGCAGCAGACUGCAUUGUAUUUUUUAUUACCUUGCAAUGUGUAUAGUUAUAGGCAGGUUCAACUAGUCAGUCUGUUUCUCAUAUGUAUUAUUUAUUUUAGUUUUGAUUCUAAAUUUUUAUUUUUACUUUAAUAUUUAUGACAACUUGAGUUCUAACUUUUGGAUUUUAAUUGUGUUAUUAAUUUAUUAUUUUAAAUUCUAAAACUAAAUUCAUUAAUUUUUAUAUUUAGUUUUAAAGUUAAAAUUUUCAUAGAAAAUUUAAUUUAAAUAAUAUUUUUUAUUUAUCCUUGAAAGUAUAUUUAAAGUUCAAAUUUAAAAAAUAAAACAUAAUAUAAUAUUUAUCAUAAAAAUGAAUAUUAUUUGAUUAAAAUAAUUUUUUUAAAUGUUAUGUUUUUAGUGGCGUUUUUGCGAGAAGCGUCGCUAAAGGUUUGUUCUAUAGCGGCGUUUGUGGGAAAAGCGCCACUAAAGGUCUUGAGCUAUAGCGGCAUUUGUGGAAAAAGUGCCGCUAAAUGUCAUGAUCUAUAGCGGUGUUUGUGGGAAAAGCGCCGCUAAAGGUCUCGAUCUAUAGCGGCGUUUGUGGGAAAAGCGCCGCUAAAGAUCUCGAUCUAUAACAGCGCUUGUGCAAAAGCACCGCUAAAGGUCCUGAUCUUUAGCGGCGUUUGUGGGAAAAGCACCGCUAAAGGUCAUGGUCUAUAGCGGUGUUUAUUUUUGAAAACGCCGCAAACGUUGCGGCGUUGACAACAGCGACAUUUUUUGCGGCGCUUUCAAAAACGCCGCAAAUACUUUUACCGGCGCUAAAAAGCACCGCUAAAGGCAUAAAAAACGCCGCUAAAAGCCUGUUUUGGUGUAGUGAAAGAAUUUUAACCAUGUUAACAAUAUUUAAAAUUCACGUUAGCAUUUUAAGUAGAAUAAAAAUAUUUAUACUAACUAUUACAUCCCAGAAACCGUGUUGGAAGAAUUUGGGUUAGUGAAAUCAAGAGUGGUCACGCCCUGUUUUGGAUUAAGGUUGUGGGAAUUAUAUUAAGUAAUUUGUUUUGGUUUAGUGGUUAUGAGUUGUGUUUGAAUGUGUGAGGUCUUAUGUUCAAAUCCCUUUCUUAAAUUUUUGUUUCACCUUCUAACUUUAGAAGACCCAACUUAUAUGUUAUUUUUGCUCAACUAAUGUUAAGAAUGAGCUUGAUGAUUUAAUGGUAAAGCUUUAGCUUACUUAGAGGUCUUUUGUUGGAAUCUCUGUGUAUGUAAACUGGGAAAAAAAUAUUUUUUGUUUUAAAUUUGGAAGAAAAAUAUGAUGUGGAUAAUGAUGGAAGGUCUUCUAAUUUUACUCUUCACUUUCUACCGUCCAACCCUCCCUCACUUUCCUCACAUUUUGUUUUCUUCCUUUUUUUUCUUCGAAUUGUUUCUCUUUUCUUUUCUUUCUUUCUCUUUUGAUUCUUGACUACCAUCAAGUAAUCUUCUAUUGUGUUCGUGCAGGUUAAUUGCCCUCGGAUAGUAGUUUGUUCGUUGUGUAAGUACCAUUUAUUUAUUUUUCUGAUGUCUUGUUUUUAGCUUGUUUUUAGGAGUAAGGUGGGGUUAUGUUGGUAUUGUUUUCGUUCAGUAUUAUGAUUAGUAUUUUGUAGUUCUUGAAUAGGCGAAGUGUGUGAAAAUCAAAUUAAUCCAGCAGGGUAAUUUUUUUCUGGACGCUAUUUUUCGAGCGGUAAGUACUCGAAUAUCAAUUUAAGGGUUAGAUUUUUGAUAAAAGAUGUUAUUUUGGAUAGGUCUGUAACGGUUAAUUGGUGUUAUUUAAUGACUGAAUGUAGGAUUCAUGAGCUCCUAGUUGAGUGGUCAAUCAAAUCUACCAUUAGGGGUGUGAAACUAACACAAAACCUCACUUGAAACUCGAGAAAAUUGUGAAAUAGGGGCCGCUUUCGAAACUGCCCAGCGCCAUACGACUGUGUGGUAGGUCGUGUGUUACACACGGCCAUGUGGUAGGAUAUCUGCUUGGCCGUGUGGAGCAUACGGCCGUGUGUAAUGAAGUAGCCAGUGUAGUAGACUGUGUGCACUACACAUCCAUGUGGUAGGCUGUGUGGACCACACAGGCUAAGUUUUAGGGUCGUGUGGGCCUUUUGGGCCAAUUUUGUGGCUCGAUUAGGGGAAAAUUAAGGGACUCAAAAAUUUGGUCCGUGGGUAUUAUGUAGGCCCAGAAAAGCAUAAGUUUCAGUAAACAAACAUCGGUAAGUGUAGGAGGUAUGUUAAAUAAGUUUUGAUAAGUAUAACAAUGCAUUAUGAUUCUCUAUAAGUAGGUACGUGAGUUAAGCAUGGCUAUUUUCUAAACCAUGUAUGUUAUACGUAUUUUGCUAUUUUUUCUGAUAAGCUAUUAGAUUCGACUAUAUAAUAUGAACAUAUGAUAUUAUGAUUCUGCAUGUGCAUUAUGGUGGGUUUUGAUGUUGGAGGAAGUGUUUUUAGGCAAUAUUACUUCUUUUUCAGCAGUUAACCGCAAUAUAUAUUUGGCAGCUCAGUUGCACCAUUUGAGUGGCAUACCACCACAACCCAAUGUGAUUGGAUGAAUGGACUUUUGUAGUCCUAAUUGGUGUGAUUAGUUGGACGAAGUUGGUGUGUAGUGGAUGGGGGAAGGAUAUAUAUCUGCAUUUGUUAUGGUCUGAUAUGAUAUUCUGAUAUGAUAUAUGUGUUUCUGAAAAUUUGACAAUCUGGUUUGAUAUAUGUUUAUGAAAAUAUGGUAUUUUGACCCGAAAUAUAUUCCGGAAAUAUGACAUAAUGAUCUGAUAUAUAUUUCUGGUAAUACAACAUUCUUAUAUGAUAUUUGUACAUUAUAAGUAAAAUUUUGUAAUGACAUUUACAUAUGUGCUUGUUAAAUAAAAAUCUAUUGGUGUAACACCUUAUAGCUCGGAUCGGCUGACUGGACUGGGUAUAGAGUGUUGCAAUUCCUAUAUAUUGCUGGCCUAUUUAGCUAAACCAUAAACUUACAUAAGGAUUUAUUUAUUUUACUCGUUUUAGAGGUAUCAUUUACAUUCAAUCUCAAAAGGAGGUGCAUUUAUAACAGCCCAAGAGAGGGAGUCUCUCUCGGAUGACACAAGUUUCACUUUCUUGGGUUACAAGAUCAUUCGCGUAAGGAGUGCUCUACUAGGAAGGACAUGGGUUGCGUAUUUCAAGGUGAUUUUUGCCCUCUCCUACAUGUCUAAUGUGAUACUGCCUCAAGGGUGGGAUGAUUGGGGAGACACAUCCAAGCAAAGCACGGUGUUUUGCAACGAAUAUUAAUGUUAUGGACCUAGAGUCAAUGCAAGAAAAAGGGUUGAACGGUAGAAAAAGCUAACGGCCAAACAGGUAGAGAUUUUCAUGACAAAGAACAUGAUGGGUGGAAGCAGUUGAAUUAGGUCUACGCCUACCCAUUUUAAGAAAGCUUCUACUGCCAUUUCUAACAAUCGAACUGCACAUGCUUGAUCAUGAACAACAUCAAAUUUAAAUGUUAGCUGAUAUACUGAUGUCGAUUACUAAUGUUGUUGUGCAUAUGUUUUUCUACCUUAUUAUCUGUUUUUUUUCUUUUUUUGUAACUUUAACAUAUUUAUUUGUUUAUUUAUUUGUAAUUACAUCAACAAAAAAAAAACUAAAUUUCCUGA